rnacentral:lncRNA from 1 species
AUGGCAACGGGAUCAUACUUAUCAAUAAUUACCUUAAACGUAAAUGGGUUGAACGCCCCAACCAAAAGACAAAGACUGGCCGAAUGGAUACAAAAACAAGACCCCUCUAUAUGCUGCUUACAAGAGACCCACCUCAAAACAAGGGACACAUACAGACUGAAAGUGAAGGGCUGGAAAAAGAUAUACCACGCGAAUAGAGACCAAAAGAAAGCAGGAGUGGCAAUACUCAUAUCCGAUAAAAUAGACUUUAAAACAAAGGCUGUGAAAAGAGACAAAGAAGGCCACUACAUAAUGAUCAAAGGAACAAUCCAAGAAGAAGAUAUAACAAUUAUAAAUAUAUAUGCACCCAAUAUAGGAGCACCACAAUAUGUAAGACAAAUGCUAACAAGUAUGAAAGGGGAAAUCAACAAUAACACAAUAAUAGUGGGAGACUUUAAUACCCCACUCACACCUAUGGACAGAUCAACUAAACAGAAAAUUAACAAAGAAACGCAAACUUUAAAUGAUACAUUAGAUCAGUUAGACCUAAUUGAUAUCUAUAGGACAUUUCACCCCAAAACAACGAAUUUCACCUUUUUUUCAAGUGCUCAUGGAACCUUCUCCAGGAUAGAUCACAUCCUGGGCCAUAAAUCUAAACUUGAUAAAUUCAAAAAAAUCGAAAUCAUUCCAAGCAUCUUUUCUGACCAUAAUGCAUUAAGAUUAGAUCUCAAUUACAGGAGAAAAACUAUUAAAAAUUCCAACAUAUGGAGGUUGAACAACACACUUCUGAAUAACCAACAAAUCACAGAAGAAAUCAAAAAAGAAAUCAAAAUAUGCAUAGAAACUAAUGAAAAUGAAAACACAACAACCCAAAACCUGUGGGACACUAUAAAAGCAGUGCUAAGAGGAAAGUUCAUAGCAAUACAGGCAUACCUCAAGAAACAAGAAAAAAGUCAAAUAAAUAACCUAACUCUACAACUAAAGCAACUAGAAAAGGAAGAGUUGGAGAACCCCAGAGUGAGUAGAAGGAAAGAAAUCUUAAAAAUUAGGGCAGAAAUAAAUGCAAAAGAAACAAAAGAGACCAUAGCAAAAAUCAACAAAGCCAAAAGCUGGUUCUUUGAAAGGAUAAAUAAAAUUGACAAACCAUUAGCCAGACUCAUCAAGAAGCAAAGAGAGAAAAAUCAAAUCAAUAAAAUUAGAAAUGAAAAUGGAGAGAUCACAACAGACAACACAGAAAUACAAAGGAUCAUAAGAGACUACUAUCAGCAGUUGUAUGCCAAUAAAAUGGACAACGUGGAAGAAAUGGACAAAUUCUUAGAAAAGUACAAUUUUCCAAAACUGAACCAGGAAGAAAUAGAAAAUCUUAACAGACCCAUCACAAGCACGGAAAUUGAUACUGUAAUCAGAAAUCUUCCAGCAAACAAAAGCCCAGGUCCAGAUGGCUUCACAGCUGAAUUCUACCAAAAAUUUCGAGAAGAGCUAACACCUAUCCUACUCAAACUCUUCCAGAAAAUUGCAGAGGAAGGUAAACUUCCAAACUCAUUCUAUGAGGCCACCAUCACCCUAAUACCAAAACCUGACAAAGAUGUCACAAAAAAAGAAAACUACAGGCCAAUAUCUCUGAUGAACAUAGAUGCAAAAAUCCUCAACAAAAUUCUAGCAAUCAGAAUCCAACAACACAUUAAAAAGAUCAUACACCAUGACCAAGUGGGCUUUAUCCCAGGGAUGCAAGGAUUCUUCAAUAUCCGCAAAUCAAUCAAUGUAAUUCACCACAUUAACAAAUUGAAAAAUAAAAACCAUAUGAUUAUCUCAAUAGAUGCAGAGAAGGCCUUUGACAAAAUUCAACAUCCAUUUAUGAUAAAAACUCUCCAGAAAGCAGGAAUAGAAGGAACAUACCUCAACAUAAUAAAAGCUAUCUAUGACAAACCCACAGCAAACAUUAUCCUCAAUGGUGAAAAAUUGAAAGCAUUUCCCCUAAAGUCAGGAACAAGACAAGGGUGUCCACUUUCACCGCUACUAUUCAACAUAGUUCUGGAAGUUUUGGCCACAGCAAUCAGAGCAGAAAAAGAAAUAAAAGGAAUCCAAAUUGGAAAAGAAGAAGUAAAACUCUCACUGUUUGCAGAUGACAUGAUCCUCUACAUGGAAAACCCUAAAGACUCCACCAGAAAAUUACUAGAGCUCAUCAAUGAAUAUAGUAAAGUUGCAGGAUAUAAAAUCAACACACAGAAAUCCCUUGCAUUCCUAUACACGAAUAAUGAGAAAGUAGAAAAAGAAAUUAAGGAAACAAUUCCAUUCACCAUUGCAACGAAAAGAAUAAAAUACUUAGGAAUAUAUCUACCUAAAGAAACUAAAGACCUAUAUAUAGAAAACUAUAAAACACUGAUGAAAGAAAUCAAAGAGGACACUAAUAGAUGGAGAAAUAUACCAUGUUCAUGGAUUGGAAGAAUCAAUAUAGUGAAAAUGAGUAUACUACCCAAAGCAAUUUACAAAUUCAAUGCAAUCCCUAUCAAGCUACCAGCCACAUUUUUCACAGAACUAGAACAAAUCAUUUCAAGAUUUGUAUGGAAAUACAAAAAACCUCGAAUAGCCAAAGCAAUCUUGAGAAAGAAGAAUGGAACUGGAGGAAUCAACUUGCCUGACUUCAGGCUCUACUACAAAGCCACAGUCAUCAAGACAGUAUGGUACUGGCACAAAGACAGACAUAUAGAUCAAUGGAACAAAAUAGAAAGCCCAGAGAUAAAUCCACACACAUAUGGACACCUUAUCUUUGACAAAGGAGGCAAGAAUAUACAAUGGAGUAAAGACAAUCUCUUUAACAAGUGGUGCUGGGAAAACUGGUCAACCACUUGUAAAAGAAUGAAACUAGAUCACUUUCUAACACCGCACACAAAAAUAAACUCAAAAUGGAUUAAAGAUCUAAAUGUAAGAUCAGAAACUAUAAAACUCCUAGAGGAGAACAUAGGCAAAACACUCUCAGACAUAAAUCACAGCAGGAUCCUCUAUGAUCCACCUCCCAGAAUGCUGGAAAUAAAAGCAAAAAUAAACAAAUGGGAUCUAAUUAAAAUUAAAAGCUUCUGCACAACAAAGGAAAAUAUAAGCAAGGUGAAAAGACAGCCUUCUGAAUGGGAGAAAAUAAUAGCAAAUGAAGCAACUGACAAACAACUAAUCUCAAAAAUAUACAAGCAACUUAUGCAGCUCAACUCCAGAAAAAUAAACGACCCAAUCAAAAAAUGGGCCAAAGAACUAAAUAGACAUUUCUCCAAAGAAGACAUACGGAUGGCUAACAAACACAUGAAAAGAUGCUCAACAUCACUCAUUAUUAGAGAAAUGCAAAUCAAAACCACAAUGAGGUACCACUUCACACCAGUCAGAAUGGCUGCGAUCCAAAAAUCUGCAAGCAAUAAAUGCUGGAGAGGGUGUGGAGAAAAGGGAACCCUCCUACACUGUUGGUGGGAAUGCAAACUAGUACAGCCACUAUGGAAAACAGUGUGGAGAUUCCUUAAAAAAUUGCAAAUAGAACUACCUUAUGACCCAGCAAUCCCACUUCUGGGCAUACACACCGAGGAAACCAGAAUUGAAAGAGACACAUGUACCCCAAUGUUCAUCGCAGCACUGUUUAUAAUAGCCAGGACAUGGAAACAACCUAGAUGUCCAUCAGCAGAUGAAUGGAUAAGAAAGCUGUGGUACAUAUACACAAUGGAGUAUUACUCAGCCGUUAAAAAGAAUUCAUUUGAAUCAGUUCUGAUGAGAUGGAUAAAACUGGAGCCGAUUAUACAGAGUGAAGUAAGCCAGAAAGAAAAACACCAAUACAGUAUACUAACACAUUAUAUGGAAUUUAGGAAGAUGGCAAUGACGACCCUGUAUGCAAGACAGGGAAAGAGACACAGAUGUGUAUAA